rnacentral:rRNA from 1 species
GUAGGUGGCAAGCGUUGUCCGGGAAUUAUUGGGGCGUAAAGCGCGCGCAGGCGGUUCUUUAAGUCUGAUGUGAAAGCCCACGGGCUCAACCGUGGAGGGUCAUUGGAAACUGGAGAACUUGAGUACAGAAGAGGAAAGCGGAAUUCCACGUGUAGCGGUGAAAUGCGUAGAGAUGUGGAGGAACACCAGUGGCGAAGGCGGCUUUCUGGUCUGUAACUGACGCUGAGGCGCAAAGCGUGGGGAGCAAACAGGAUUAGAUACCCUGAUAGUCCACGCCGUAAACGAUGAGUGCUAAGUGUUAGGGGGUUUCCGCCCCUUAGUGCUGCAGCUAACGCAUUAAGCACUCCGCCUGGGGAGUACGGCCGCAAAGGCUG